rnacentral:tRNA from 1 species
GCCGGUGUAGCUCAAUGGUAGAGCACCUCUUUUGUAAAGAGGCCGCUGGGGGUUCGAUUCCUCUCACCGGCUCCA